AUGCCCGAUGAAGGCUUCAAGACAAGAAGUCACAUAGAAAAUGCCUUUUGUCCGGCGACACAACCUGCUUUUUUGGUUCGAGAGCCCAAGAUAAUCAGAGCUGCGAAGCGCUACCUUAACGCUCUUGCACCGGCCAGCGACUUAGCUCUGGGGAGAAUAACUCCCCGCCGUUGUUGCUCUAAAGCCCCGCGACCGUUCAGGGAAGCCUUUUCCCUCGCCGACCCCUCGGGGACCACCCAGGCUCGGGGAGAACAAAGCAGCGAGGAGCCGCGCGGGCAGGGGGCAUCACGGACCGAGCCGGGGGCACCCGGCUUUCAGGAUGCUUCGGGGACACCUUUGCACUGCCCCGGGUGGGAGAAGACCGGCGCGUGGUUUUUUUGGGCUCUUGUCCUGCCCGGCUCGUUCAACAUCUUAUUAAAAUCUGGAUACAUAAAGGCACCUGGAUGCUGGAGGCUGUCAUCUCGGGGAGGGGGGGGACCCUUUUUACCCCCCUCCCUUUUCCCCUGGAUCAGGUCACGCUCAGACAUCGGCUCCCUGACCCACGAUAACAGCAGCUGUCUAGAAACUCAAAUUAACUUGGCCGGGAACAAAACCGUCCCGGAGGAGAGCGCAGAUGCCUUUAACCYGGGGGGGCUGCACGGUCCCAGAUCAAUGUCUGCAUUGUGCCUUAUCUCGAAGCGGGGACACCCGGGACGGGCACCGCUGCGACGUCCCCCYGGCUCCGCCUUUAUAGGGGCAAUCUGGAGGCCUGGAUGUUUUUUAGGAUGGAGCAAUGCUCUAGCGCAAUACGUUUCCGUGGCACAGGCACAGGCAGGGGCUGGACGGCCGCAGAGGCUCUCCUUCUCCGCAGGGGGAAGCCAGCUCAGUCCGUCCCCARCCAGCAUUUUUCCACACCCUCCUGCCACCAUUGAAUUUGGCCAAAAUGAGCUUCCUACAGACCAAAAAAUCUACAGCUACGGAGGGGAGASAUACACACACACAAACUGCAUAGGUUUCCUUGGCUUAGGAAACUAA
rnacentral:lncRNA from 1 species